CAUAAAUGUGUGGAGAUUAUGUGGUUUCUUUCUUUAUGGUUUUCUAUUUGGAGGAUUUUUAUGGAAUGAUAGUUAGUGUAAAAUAUCUGUUGAUCUCCAUUUGUCGUGUGUACAAUUAUGUACUUUUAAUGUGAAAUGUGCAUUACUCCUUCAGGGAAAUGUAUUUGCAAUUCUUUAUGUGUUGUAAUGAUUUACUAUAAUACUGUAAGCCACUUAUCUGAGGUGGGAUCUCCUACAAUUUUGCACAGAUUUGCCAUCCUGGUACAUGCCACCGGCCAUUUUAUAUUCCACGGGUUUUAUUUAGAAUUUUUUCUGUUUUUGUGUUUGGAAUACCACGGUUGCUAUGGGAGAUCAUGCUGUCUCAAUGCAUAUGAUGUAAGCAUUUGUAGGCCAAUUUCGAAACUGUAGAAUAACUGCAUUACCUAUAAUGCUCUACUCAACCAUCAAAAAUCUUCUCCAUCCAUUGGACAACCCCUCUCUUACAAUCACCACCGACCUCUGUGACAGUUUUCUGGCCUUCAGGCUAUCUACCAACAGCUGCAGUAGUCUCACCCCCCCCCCCCCCCCAGUGUUACAUUUGAACCCCACAUCCCUAACAUCACCAAGUCAGCCUUUUCCCACCUCAAAAACAUCUCAUGACUUAGACCCUCUCUCACUGACACCACAACCCUCAUCCAUGCCUUUGUUUUAUCAUGCUGGCCUAUUGCAACGCCAUUCUCUACGGACUCCCCAACAAAACACUGGGCAAACUUCAAAAUUCAGCUGCACGGGUACUCCCACACACCAGAUCUUGGGACCACAUCACCCCCAACCCUCAUCAACCUCCACUGGCUCCCAGUUCAAUACAGGAUCAUAUUGCUCAUGCUCACCUGCAAAGCACUCAAUGGACUGGCGCCAACAUACCUUACUGACGUCCUGCACCCCUACACUCCCACCUAUUCACAGCGCCCCGCUCCAUGGGAGACUGGGUUUUUAGCUGUGCAGCUCCUCAAGUCUGGAUCUUCCUCACUCUCCAUGUCAGAACCGGACAAUCCAUACACAUAUUCAAGUCCACACUAAAUAGACACCUCUUCACACAGGCUUACCCGGAUUAUCGGCUGCUUUAGCUUUUAUCCUCUGUCUAGUUCACUUCCCUGGUUAAUCUGUCAUCGUGUUUAGUGUUCUCCAUGGUUAGUCUGUCCUUACGUUUAGUGUACUUUUAUAUACUUAAUUAUUUUAUGAUGUGAUUUUAAUGCUUUUUAUCCUGCUGAUUCUCGUGUGUAUGUAAAGUGACUUUGGGUGUUGUGAAAAGUGCUUCAAAUAACAUUUAUUUUUGUUAUUAUUAUAAUGCCCAUUGACUGAACAUUCCAAAUGACUAUGGCAAUUAUGCAUCACAAUGCUACAAUGGCAAUUAUGCGUCACAAUAUAAAUUAUAUUUAUAUUGUGUAGGGCAGGCCAGUAACUUUUGCAACCAAAUCAUUGUAUUGUACCCCAAAAAAUAGGAGAGGGGAAUUCCACUUUCACAUAUUGUAAGGGCGUUCGUCUGUAGGAGGAGGAGAAGCGGACCAAAGCGCAGCGUGGUGGUUGUUCAUAUUUUAAUAAAUCACUACACAUGAACAAACUAACGAAAACAAGAAAUGUGAGAACGCAAACCAGUCCUAUCCUGUGACGACAAACACAGUGACAGGAACAAUCACCCACAAACACACAGUGAAACCCAGGCUACCUAAGUAUGAUUCUCAAUCAGAGACAACUAAUGACACCUGCCUCUGAUUGAGAACCAUACUAGGCCGAAAACAUAGAAAUGCCCCAAAACAUAGAAAAACAAACAUAGACUGCCCACCCAACUCACGCCCUGACCAUACUAAAUAAAUACAAAACAACAGAAAUAGAGGUCAGAACGUG
rnacentral:lncRNA from 13 species